rnacentral:tRNA from 1 species
UCACGCGUGCGGGCUCGCCGCUGACUCUUAACCAGUGGGUUCUCGGUUCAAGUCCGAGGGGGUGCACCA